CAAGUGAGGCUACCGAACGCUGGAAACAGCGGUUAGGAGCUUACACCCACCCGUGUUUACAUACUAUUGUUGCUUUGGCGGGCCGUGGCCUCCACUGCGGGCUCUGCUCGUGUGUGCCCGCCAGAGGACCAAACUCUGAAUGUUAGUGAUGUCUUGAAAACGAAAGUGAUUAGAGCGCCUGCCCAUUUUAUACAAACAUGAUGUUUUGCAUAUUGGUUACAUAUGUAUGAUAAUAUA
rnacentral:misc_RNA from 1 species